AGUGAACGCUGGCGGUAGGCCUAACACAUGCAAGUCGAACGGCAGCACAGUAAGAGCUUGCUCUUACGGGUGGCGAGUGGCGGACGGGUGAGGAAUACAUCGGAAUCUACUUUUUCGUGGGGGAUAACGUAGGGAAACUUACGCUAAUACCGCAUACGACCUACGGGUGAAAGCAGGGGAUCUUCGGACCUUGCGCGAUUGAAUGAGCCGAUGUCGGAUUAGCUAGUUGGCGGGGUAAAGGCCCACCAAGGCGACGAUCCGUAGCUGGUCCGAGAGGAUGAUCAGCCACACUGGAACUGAGACACGGUCCAGACUCCUACGGGAGGCAGCAGUGGGGAAUAUUGGACAAUGGGCGCAAGCCUGAUCCGGCCAUACCGCGUGGGUGAAGAAGGCCUUCGGGUUGUAAAGCCCUUUUGUUGGGAAAGAAAAGCAGCAGGUUAAUACCCCGCUGUUCUGACGGUACCCAAAGAAUAAGCACCGGCUAACUUCGUG
rnacentral:rRNA from 1 species